rnacentral:rRNA from 1 species
AUUAUUUAAGAGCUUAACAUUGUAAGUAAAUAAAAAUUAUGAAAGCAAAAAAUUAUGGCGGUAUUUUAAGCUUUUCAGAGGAAUUUGCUCUUUAAUGGAUAAAACGCCAAAAUCUUACUUAAAUUUGUUAGUUCAAUUUGUAUACCACUAUAAAAACAAUUUAUAACUUUAAUUGUUUAAAUUUAUUAAAUUAAAAUAUAUUAAGUCAAGGUGCAGUAAAAAUUUAAGAAUGAAGUGAAUUACAUUACUUUUUAGUGAAAAAAAAAAAAUUAUAAUAACACUU